rnacentral:rRNA from 1 species
CCUACGGGUGGCUGCAGUGGGGAAUAUUGCACAAUGGGCGCAAGCCUGAUGCAGCCAUGCCGCGUGUGUGAAGAAGGCCUUCGGGUUGUAAAGCACUUUCAGCGGGGAGGAAGGCGUUAAGGUUAAUAACCUUGGCGAUUGACGUUACCCGCAGAAGAAGCACCGGCUAACUCCGUGCCAGCAGCCGCGGUAAUACGGAGGGUGCAAGCGUUAAUCGGAAUUACUGGGCGUAAAGCGCACGCAGGCGGUCUGUCAAGUCGGAUGUGAAAUCCCCGGGCUCAACCGGGGAACUGCAUUCGAAACUGGCAGGAUAGAGUCUUGUAGAGGGGGGUAGAAUUCCAGGUGUAGCGGUGAAAUGCGUAGAGAUCUGGAGGAAUACCGGUGGCGAAGGCGGCCCCCUGGACAAAGACUGACGCUCAGGUGCGAAAGCGUGGGGAGCAAACAGGAUUAGAUACCCUAGUAGUC